AAGAACCAAGCCUUGUUGAUGCUCAGUACACCAAGAACCAGGCGUGGAAGUCUGAUGCUGACACAUUACAUGCUCCACCAGCCAAGGAAAUCAAGCUUGAAGAUCAUUGUGAAUACAGAUACCUGUUCAACUUCCGU